UGGGGGAUAUUGCACAAUGGGCGAAAGCCUGAUGCAGCGACGCCGCGUGGGGGAUGAAGGCUUUCGGGUUGUAAACCUCUUUCGCUAUCGAACAAGGCCCGCUUAGGGUGGGUUGAGGGUAGGUGGAGAAGAAGCGCCGGCUAACUACGUGCCAGCAGCCGCGGUAAUACGUAGGGCGCGAGCGUUGUCCGGAAUUAUUGGGCGUAAAGGGCUUGUAGGCGGCUUGCUGCGCCUGCUGUGAAAACGCGGGGCUUAACUUCGCGCGUGCAGUGGGUACGGGCAGGCUUGAGUGUGGUAGGGGUGACUGGAAUUCCAGGUGUAGCGGUGAAAUGCGUAGAGAUCUGGAGGAAUACCGGUGGCGAAGGCGGCCCCCUGGACAAAGACUGACGCUCAGGUGCGAAAGCGUGGGGAGCAAACAGG
rnacentral:rRNA from 1 species